AGGCGCAUGGUUGGCUGCAUUU
rnacentral:miRNA from 1 species